rnacentral:rRNA from 1 species
UACGAAGGGGGCUAGCGUUGUUCGGAGUUACUGGGCGUAAAGGGCGCGUAGGCGGUGCACCAAGUCAGGCGUGAAAGCCCUAGGCUCAACCCGGGAAUUGCGCUUGAGACUGGUGUGCUUGAGUACGGGAGAGGAUAGUGGAAUUCCCAGUGUAGAGGUGAAAUUCGUAGAUAUUGGGAAGAACACCGGUGGCGAAGGCGGCUAUCUGGACCGUAACUGACGCUGAGGCGCGAAAGCGUGGGGAGCAAACAGG